UACAGAGGUGGCAAGCGUUGUUCGGAAUUACUGGGCGUAAAGGGCGCGUAGGCGGCCCGCUAAGUCGAACGUGAAAUCCCCGAGCUCAACUCGGGAACUGCGUCCGAUACUGGCGGGCUUGAAUCCGGGAGAGGGAUGCGGAAUUCCAGGUGUAGCGGUGAAAUGCGUAGAUAUCUGGAGGAACACCGGUGGCGAAGGCGGCAUCCUGGACCGGUAUUGACGCUGAGGCGCGAAAGCUAGGGGAGCAAACGGG
rnacentral:rRNA from 1 species